UGGGGAAUUUUGCGCAGUGACCGAAAGGUUGACGCAGCAACGCCGCGUGUAUGAUGAAGGCUUUCGGGUCGUAAAGUACUUUCAGUGGGGAAAAACUGCGUAAUCAGUAACUGGGUUAUGAUUGACGGUACCCACAGAAGCAGCCCCGGCUAACUCCGUGCCAGCAGCCGCGGUAAUACGGAUGGGGCAAGCGUUGUUCGGAGUCACUGGGCGUAAAGAGCUCUGAGGCAGCACUGUAAGUCGGGAGUUAAAGGCAACGGCUCAACUGUUGUAAGGCUUCUGAAACUACAUUGCUAGAGUGCCAGAGAGGUAUGCAGAAUUCCCUGUGUAGCGGUGAAAUGCAUAGAUAUAGGGAGGAACACCGGUUGCGAAGGCGGCAUACUGGCUGGUAACUGACGCUGAGAGCGAAAGCGUGGUAGCAAACA
rnacentral:rRNA from 1 species